UACGUAGGGUGCGAGCGUUAAUCGGAUUUACUGGGCGUAAAGCGUGCGCAGGCGGCCCGUUAAGACAGGUGUGAAAUCCCUGGGCUCAACCUAGGAAUUGCGCUUGUGACUGGCGGGCUGGAGUGCGGUAGAGGGGGGUGGAAUUCCUGGUGUAGCAGUGAAAUGCGUAGAGAUCAGGAGGAACACCGAUGGCGAAGGCAGCCCCCUGGGACUGUACUGACGCUCAUGCACGAAAGCGUGGGGAGCAAACAGG
rnacentral:rRNA from 1 species